GAGAGUUUGAUCCUGGCUCAGGAUGAACGCUAGCUACAGGCUUAACACAUGCAAGUCGAGGGGCAGCAUGGUCUUAGCUUGCUAAGGCCGAUGGCGACCGGCGCACGGGUGAGUAACGCGUAUCCAACCUGCCUUACACUCUUGGACAGCCUUCUGAAAGGGAGAUUAAUACAAGAUGUUAUCAUGAGUAAGCAUUUUCGCAUGAUUAAAGGUUUACCGGUGUAAGAUGGGGAUGCGUUCCAUUAGAUAGUAGGCGGGGUAACGGCCCACCUAGUCUUCGAUGGAUAGGGGUUCUGAGAGGAAGGUCCCCCACAUUGGAACUGAGACACGGUCCAAACUCCUACGGGAGGCAGCAGUGAGGAAUAUUGGUCAAUGGACGAGAGUCUGAACCAGCCAAGUAGCGUGAAGGAUGAAGGUUCUAUGGAUUGUAAACUUCUUUUAUACGGGAAUAAACGAAUCCACGCGUGGAUUUUUGCAUGUACCGUAUGAAUAAGGAUCGGCUAACUCCGUGCCAGUAGCCGCGGUAAUACGGAGGAUCCGAGCGUUAUCCGGAUUUAUUGGGUUUAAAGGGAGCGUAGAUGGGUUGUUAAGUCAGUUGUGAAAGUUUGCGGCUCAACCGUAAAAUUGCAAUUGAUACUGGCAGUCUUGAGUACAGUUGAGGUAGGCGGAAUUCGUGGUGUAGCGGUGAAAUGCUUAGAUAUCACGAAGAACUCCGAUUGCGAAGGCAGCUUACUAACCUGUAACUGACAUUGAUGCUCGAAAGUGUGGGUAUCAAACAGGAUUAGAUACCCUGGUAGUCCACACGGUAAACGAUGAAUACUCGCUGUAGGCGAUAUACAGUCUGCGGCCAAGCGAAAGCAUUAAGUAUUCCACCUGGGGAGUACGCCGGCAACGGUGAAACUCAAAGGAAUUGACGGGGGCCCGCACAAGCGGAGGAACAUGUGGUUUAAUUCGAUGAUACGCGAGGAACCUUACCCGGGCUUAAAUUGCAACCGAAUAUGGCGGAAACGCUAUAGCUAGCAAUAGCGGUUGUGAAGGUGCUGCAUGGUUGUCGUCAGCUCGUGCCGUGAGGUGUCGGCUUAAGUGCCAUAACGAGCGCAACCCUUGCCGAUAGUUACUAACAGGUUAUGCUGAGGACUCUGUCGGGACUGCCAUCGUAAGAUGUGAGGAAGGUGGGGAUGACGUCAAAUCAGCACGGCCCUUACGUCCGGGGCUACACACGUGUUACAAUGGGGGGUACAGAGGGCUGCUACCACGCAAGUGGAUGCCAAUCCCAAAAACCUCUCUCAGUUCGGAUUGAAGUCUGCAACCCGACUUCAUGAAGCUGGAUUCGCUAGUAAUCGCGCAUCAGCCACGGCGCGGUGAAUACGUUCCCGGGCCUUGUACACACCGCCCGUCAAGCCAUGGGAGCCGGGGGUACCUGAAGUGCGUAACCGCAAGGAGCGCCCUAGGGUAAAACUGGUGACUGGGGCUAAGUCGUAACAAGGUAGCCG
rnacentral:rRNA from 1 species